CUCUUUGAGUUAAAAUCCACCCUGGCAAAAGAUGGUGGCCUAAGAAGAAUGGUACGGGGGAGAGGCAAAGAUUUGAGUUCUGGGCACAGAGUCUCAUCAAAGCCUGUAUUUUCAGGGCAUAAAUGACCACUGGAGUUGACAGUUACUGAAGAGAGCAAGACCAGGACUGCAGGGAGCAAGUUCAUUGGCAGGACAGCGUGGGAUCCCUAGCUAUGGCUUUGGAGUGGAAAGGAGAGCCAAAAGUUGAGGCUCAGCACAGACUUCAGAAAAUAACGAUGGUGUAAUAGUAACAAGAGGUAAAAAACACAGUCCCCAUGAAGCCAGGAUGUGCUGUCCCACAAAUGCAGUGUGUCUGUCAAUGGAACAGGUGAGGUGGGAACCCACACGAUGAGGGCGGCAGUGCCACGGCAUUGUGAUGCCCCAGGACCCUUCCUAAUCUUCUGGGGACUUAAGCCAGCUCCCCUGGGGUGCAGCAUCUCCAGCAGACAGGUCACUCAGUAGGGCCUCACAGGCCUGUUCUCUCUGCCACUCUCAAAGCUUAUUCUCUUCCCUCAUGCCAAUGGGCACAAGCCUGGGAACUGUCUCCUCUGCUCCUGGGGA